CUCUCUCUCUCUUUUUUUUUUUCCUUUUUGGCCUCAGUCAUGUGGACACCACUGGGAAUGGAGGGAAAUACGUGACUGCAUGGUUGAUGCUUUCUAAGCCGCGGGCUGAUAUUCCAGGCGAGCUGUGCCUGAGUCAGUGCCGGCUUCAGUUCUUCACGGCCCGGGGCCCUGGGAAGGUGGAGUCAGCUGCUUCUCCCUGAAUAACUGGGAGAUGAAACAGGAAGCUCUAUGACACAGUUGAUCGAAAAUGACACAGACACAGAAAAAUCAGGACUCGGUCCCCCUCCAGUGCCUCUACCUGCUGCCCACAGCCGGAGUGCAGAUGUGCAAAGUAAGGAGCAGAAAGCGAAAGGAUUUGGCUGAAGUGUGCAGCCCCCCCGCAGCUGUCCCGUCCUUUAUGAGCUGGAUCUGGAGAGGAGACUCUCAGGAGGGUGAGACCAGCUUUAUUGUCCCGCUGACUGAUGACCAGGAAGGGCCCCCCAGUGGGUGUGAACAACAGCCUCCCUGUUCCACGUCCUGCGCAGGGCUCACGGGACAGAACAAAAGACAAAGCCCAAAGCAGCCCAGAUCCCAGCCUGAGAGAGGGGCUCGGAGAGCACCUGCAUGAAGGAGAAACGAUUCCCUACGGCCAGGGUCCGCUCCACCAGGCGUGUAAUUCAGAGGCAGGUUAGCAAACACUCGGGGAGGGACAUUCCGUAGAAAUACAUGUACUUCACAGGGUAUAUUUUAAUCAGUAGCUCAAUCAUGGACCAUUGCCAAAGAAAAGUAAAAUAAUGCUGCCAUCCUGUGAAA